rnacentral:rRNA from 1 species
CAUGCAUACAAACAGUAGGAGCCUCGUCAGAGGUGACUGCGUACCUUUUGCAUAAUGGGUCAGCGACUUACAUUCUGUGGCGAGCUUAACCGAAUAGGGGAGGCGCAGCGAAAGCGAGUUCGAAAUGAGCGUUCAGUCGCAGGGUGUAGACCCGAAACCAGAUGAGCUAUCCAUGGCCAGGUUGAAGGUGUGGUAACACACACUGGAGGACCGAACCGACUAGUGUUGCAAAAUUAGCGGAUGAGCUGUGGAUAGGGGUGAAAGGCCAAACAAAUCUGGAGAUAGCUGGUUCUCCCCGAAAACUAUUGAGGUAGUGCCUCGUGUGUCGCUCCAGGGGGUAGAGCACUGUUUUGGCUAGGGGGACAUGGAGUCUUACCAAACCAAGGCAAACUCCGAAUACCUGGAAGCGUAAGCACGGGAGACAGAGCACCGGGUGCUAACGUCCGGACUCAAAAGGGAAACAACCCAGACCGCCGGCUAAGGUCCCAAAUAACAGCUAAGUGGAAAACGAAGUGGAAAGGCCGUGACAACCAGGAAGUUGGCUUAGAAGCAGCCAUCCUUCAAAGAAAGCGUAAUAGCUCACUGGUCGAGUCCUUCUGCGCGGAAGAUGUAACGGGGCUAAGCUGUUAACCGAAGCCGCGGAUGCGCUGGUUAUCCAGUGCGUGGUAGGGGAGCGUUCUGUAAGUCUGCGAAGGCGGUUCGAGAGGACUGCUGGAGAUAUCAGAAGUGCGAAUGCUGACAUGAGUAACGUUAAAGCAGGUGAAAAGCCUGCUCGCCGUAAGCCCAAGGAUUCCUGCUCUACGUUCAUCGGAGCAGGGUGAGUCGGCUCCUAAGGUCAGGCCGAAAGGCGUAGCCGAUGGGAAUCAGGUUAAUAUUCCUGAACCUGCGUCAGAUGCGAUGGGGGGACGGAGCAUGGAAGAUCAUCCGGGUGUUGGAAGUCCCGGUUGUUGAGCGUAGGAGGUCUGCAGGCAAAUCCGCAGACGCAUCUCCAAGGCAAAGACACGUGCCGCCACGGCGGCGAAGUGAUCGGAAGUGCUUCCAAGAAAAGCCUCUAAGCCCCAGUCUGAUGCGGACCGUACCGCAAACCGACACUGGUGGGCGAGCUGAAUAUGCUCAGGCGCUUGAGAGAACUCGGGAGAAGGAACUCGGCAAAUUGACACCGUAACUUCGGAAGAAGGUGUGCCGUAGUACCGUGAGAGGAGAGACACCUUGAGCGGGAAACGGUCUCAGAGAAUAGGUGGCUGCGACUGUUUAUUAAAAACACAGCACUCUGCAAAGUCGAAAGACGACGUAUAGGGUGUGAUGCCUGCCCGGUGCUGGAAGAUUAAUUGAUGGGGUGAGAGCCCUUGAUCGAAGUCCCAGUAAACGGCGGCCGUAACUAUAACGGUCCUAAGGUAGCGAAAUUCCUUGUCGGGUAAGUUCCGACCUGCACGAAUGGCAUAACGAUGGCCACACUGUCUCCUCCCGAGACUCAGUGAAGUUGAAAUGUUUGUGAUGAUGCAAUCUACCCGCGGCUAGACGGAAAGACCCCAUGAACCUUUACUGCAGCUUUGCAUUGAACUGUGAACCGAUUUGUGUAGGAUAGGUGGGAGGCAGAGAAGAGGCCACGCCAGUGGCCUUGGAGCCGACCUUGAAAUACCACCCUGAUUUGUUUGCGGUUCUAACCACGGACAGUGAUCCUGUCUUGGGACCGUGCAUGGUAGGCAGUUUGACUGGGGCGGUCUCCUCCUAAAGGGUAACGGAGGAGUACGAAGGUACGCUAGGUACGGUCGGAAAUCGUGCUGAUAGUGCAAUGGCAAAAGCGUGCUUGACUGCGAGAGCAACAACUCGAGCAGAUGCGAAAGCAGGUCAUAGUGAUCCGGUGGCUCUGAAUGGAAGGGCCAUCGCUCAAC